GAUGAACGCUAGCGACAGGCCUAACACAUGCAAGUCGAGGGGCAGCACAUGAGUAGCAAUACGAUGGUGGCGACCGGCGCACGGGUGAGUAUCGCGUAUGCAACCUACCAUCCACAGGGGGAUAGCCUUCCGAAAGGGAGAUUAAUACCGCAUAAAACAGGGGCCCCGCAUGGGGGUAUUUGUUAAAGAUUUAUCGGUGGGAGAUGGGCAUGCGUUCCAUUAGCUAGUUGGCGGGGUAAUGGCCCACCAAGGCAUCGAUGGAUAGGGGAACUGAGAGGUUUAUCCCCCACACUGGAACUGAGACACGGUCCAGACUCCUACGGGAGGCAGCAGUGAGGAAUAUUGGUCAAUGGGCGGGAGCCUGAACCAGCCAAGUCGCGUGAAGGAAGACGGUUCUAUGGAUUGUAAACUUCUUUUGCACUGGGGUAAAACGGGGGACGUGUCCCCCCUUGCAAGUACAGUGCGAAUAAGCAUCGGCUAACUCCGUGCCAGCAGCCGCCGUAA
rnacentral:rRNA from 1 species